rnacentral:rRNA from 1 species
AUUGAACGCUGGCGGCAGGCCUAACACAUGCAAGUCGAACGGUAACAGGAAGAAGCUUGCUUCUUUGCUGACGAGUGGCGGACGGGUGAGUAAUGUCUGGGAAACUGCCUGAUGGAGGGGGAUAACUACUGGAAACGGUAGCUAAUACCGCAUAACGUCGCAAGACCAAAAAGGGGGACCUUCGGGCCUCUUGCCAUCGGAUGUGCCCAGAUGGGAUUAGCUAGUAGGUGGGGUAACGGCUCACCUAGGCGACGAUCCCUAGCUGGUCUGAGAGGAUGACCAGCCAAACUGGAACUGAGACACGGUCCAGACUCCUACGGGAGGCAGCAGUGGGGAAUAUUGGAAAAUGGGCGCAAGCCUGAUGCAGCCAUGCCGCGUGUAUGAAGAAGGCCUUCGGGUUGUAAAGUACUUUCAGCGGGGAGGAAGGGAGUAAAGUUAAUACCUUUGCUCAUUGACGUUACCCGCAGAAGAAGCACCGGCUAACUCCGUG